rnacentral:rRNA from 1 species
UACAGAGGUGGCAAGCGUUGUUCGGAAUUACUGGGCGUAAAGGGCGCGUAGGCGGCCUUCUAAGUCAGACGUGAAAUCCCUCGGCUUAACCGGGGAACUGCGUCUGAUACUGGAUGGCUUGAGUGUGGGAGAGGGAUGCGGAAUUCCAGGUGUAGCGGUGAAAUGCGUAGAUAUCUGGAGGAACACCGGUGGCGAAGGCGGCAUCCUGGACCAUUACUGACGCUGAUGAGCGAAAGCCAGGGGAGCAAACGGG